AAAUUCUUGCAGUGGCAUUCCUCCCUUCAAAGGGAAAUCCAACCACAUAGCUCCAGACAACUCUUUAUUUCCUAUUUCUCCAACAUCCUGCUAUAAAAAUUCUCAACACGAAGAAAGCAAACCUCCAUGGAGCGGCUGCAGAGAUUCUAGCAUUGGGAUUUUACUACACUCAGCUUAUCAAACAUCUAACCAUCCAUCAUCAAUCCAUCUGGUAUGCAAACUAAGAUAAAAAGAAGUUCAGCAGACUGACACAAGUUGGCAAGUGGUGGAGCGGGGACUUCAACUUGAGUGUUGUAGUUCCCAAGAAGCUGUUCUUAAAUGUACCCUGGAGAAGCUGAGACGUCACUAGAUGUUGGUGUACCACUUCCGUUAAAUAUAAUGGGGUGAAAUACAGAUAAAACAAGAUAGCCUUUAAUCAACUAAAAUCAUCUCAUACAUGACUGUGGUACCAGUUAACAUGUAAAUAAUAUAUUAUUUAUAUAUUUAAUAUCAUGUUAAUAAUAAGUUAAUAAAGGCAAUCCCGU
rnacentral:lncRNA from 1 species